AGAGUUUGAUCCUGGCUCAGGAUGAACGCUAGCUACAGGCUUAACACAUGCAAGUCGAGGGGCAGCAUGGUCUUAGCUUGCUAAGGCCGAUGGCGACCGGCGCACGGGUGAGUAACGCGUAUCCAACCUGCCUUACACUCUUGGACAGCCUUCUGAAAGGGAGAUUAAUACAAGAUGUUAUCAUGAGUAAGCAUUUUCGCAUGAUUAAAGGUUUACCGGUGUAAGAUGGGGAUGCGUUCCAUUAGAUAGUAGGCGGGGUAACGGCCCACCUAGUCUUCGAUGGAUAGGGGUUCUGAGAGGAAGGUCCCCCACAUUGGAACUGAGACACGGUCCAAACUCCUACGGGAGGCAGCAGUGAGGAAUAUUGGUCAAUGGACGAGAGUCUGAACCAGCCAAGUAGCGUGAAGGAUGAAGGUUCUAUGGAUUGUAAACUUCUUUUAUACGGGAAUAAACGAAUCCACGUGUGGAUUUUUGCAUGUACCGUAUGAAUAAGGAUCGGCUAACUCCGUGCCAGCAGCCGCGGUAAUACGGAGGAUCCGAGCGUUAUCCGGAUUUAUUGGGUUUAAAGGGAGCGUAGAUGGGUUGUUAAGUCAGUUGUGAAAGUUUGCGGCUCAACCGUAAAAUUGCAAUUGAUACUGGCAGUCUUGAGUACAGUUGAGGUAGGCGGAAUUCGUGGUGUAGCGGUGAAAUGCUUAGAUAUCACGAAGAACUCCGAUUGCGAAGGCAGCUUACUAACCUGUAACUGACAUUGAUGCUCGAAAGUGUGGGUAUCAAACAGGAUUAGAUACCCUGGUAGUCCACACGGUAAACGAUGAAUACUCGCUGUAGGCGAUAUACAGUCUGCGGCCAAGCGAAAGCAUUAAGUAUUCCACCUGGGGAGUACGCCGGCAACGGUGAAACUCAAAGGAAUUGACGGGGGCCCGCACAAGCGGAGGAACAUGUGGUUUAAUUCGAUGAUACGCGAGGAACCUUACCCGGGCUUAAAUUGCAACCGAAUAUGGCGGAAACGCUAUAGCUAGCAAUAGCGGUUGUGAAGGUGCUGCAUGGUUGUCGUCAGCUCGUGCCGUGAGGUGUCGGCUUAAGUGCCAUAACGAGCGCAACCCUUGCCGAUAGUUACUAACAGGUUAUGCUGAGGACUCUGUCGGGACUGCCAUCGUAAGAUGUGAGGAAGGUGGGGAUGACGUCAAAUCAGCACGGCCCUUACGUCCGGGGCUACACACGUGUUACAAUGGGGGGUACAGAGGGCUGCUACCACGCAAGUGGAUGCCAAUCCCAAAAACCUCUCUCAGUUCGGAUUGAAGUCUGCAACCCGACUUCAUGAAGCUGGAUUCGCUAGUAAUCGCGCAUCAGCCACGGCGCGGUGAAUACGUUCCCGGGCCUUGUACACACCGCCCGUCAAGCCAUGGGAGCCGGGGGUACCUGAAGUGCGUAACCGCAAGGAGCGCCCUAGGGUAAAACUGGUGACUGGGGCUAAGUCGUAACAAGGUAGCCGUACCGGAAGGUGCGGCUG
rnacentral:rRNA from 1 species